GACGAACGCUGGCGGCGUGCCUAAUACAUGCAAGUUGAGCGCUGAAGGUUGGUACUUGUACCAACUGGAUGAGCAGCGAACGGGUGAGUAACGCGUGGGGAAUCUGCCUUUGAGCGGGGGACAACAUUUGGAAACGAAUGCUAAUACCGCAUAAAAACUUUAAACACAAGUUUUAAGUUUGAAAGAUGCAAUUGCAUCACUCAAAGAUGAUCCCGCGUUGUAUUAGCUAGUUGGUGAGGUAAAGGCUCACCAAGGCGAUGAUACAUAGCCGACCUGAGAGGGGGGUCGGCCACAUUGGGACUGAGACACGGCCCAAACUCCUACGGGAGGCAGCAGUAGGGAAUCUUCGGCAAUGGACGAAAGUCUGACCGAGCAACGCCGCGUGAGUGAAGAAGGUUUUCGGAUCGUAAAACUCUGUUGGUAGAGAAGAACGUUGGUGAGAGUGGAAAGCUCAUCAAGUGACGGUAACUACCCAGAAAGGGACGGCUAGCUACGUG
rnacentral:rRNA from 1 species